rnacentral:rRNA from 1 species
UACGUAGGGACCAAGCGUUGUUCGGAUUUACUGGGCGUAAAGGGCGCGUAGGCGGCAUGACAAGUCACUUGUGAAAUCUCUGGGCUUAACCCAGAACGGCCAAGUGAUACUGUCGCGCUAGAGUGCGGAAGGGGCAAUCGGAAUUCUCGGUGUAGCGGUGAAAUGCGUAGAUAUCGAGAGGAACACCUGAGGUGAAGACGGGUUGCUGGGCCAACACUGACGCUGAUGCGCGAAAGCCAGGGGAGCAAACGGG